rnacentral:rRNA from 1 species
GAUGAACGCUGGCGGCGUGCCUAAUACAUGCAAGUCGAGCGAACAGAUAAGGAGCUUGCUGGUAUGAGGUUAGCGGCGGACGGGGGAGUAACACGUGGGUAACCUACCUAUAAGGCUGGGAUAACUUCGGGAAACCGGAGCUAAUACCGGAUAAUAUUUCGAACCGCAUGGUUCGAUAGUGAAAGAUGGUCUUGCUGUCGCUGAUAGAUGGACCCGCGCCGCAUUAGCUAGUUGGUAAGGUAACGGCUUACCAAGGCGACGAUACGUAGCCGACCUGAGAGGGUGAUCGGCCACACUGGAACUGAGACACGGUCCAGACUCCUACGGGAGGCAGCAGUAGGGAAUCUUCCGCAAUGGGCGAAAGCCUGACGGAGCAAAGCCGCGUGAGUGAUGAAGGUCUUCGGAUCGUAAAACUCUGUUAUUAGGGAAGAACAUAAGUGUAAGUAACUGUGAACAUCUUGACGGUACCUAAUCAGAAAGCCACGGCUAACUACGUG